rnacentral:sRNA from 1 species
UAGACGGCCCUGGAAAGUAAAUGUUCUUGUUUGUCCAUAAAAAACAACAGCAGAGGCACCAACAAUCCAAGUUUCCCCAUACUGCUCCAUCAGAGUACUUCAAGCUUGUUCCUCUGAGAUCACUUCUAGGAAUGAGAGAAUAUAUCAGUCUCCAUGCUAUUCAAUCCUUGGGUCUA